AAUUGUUCGCAAUGGGCGCAAGCCUGACGACGCAACGCCGCGUGGAGGAUGAAGAAUUUCGGUUCGUAAACUCCUGUCGAGCGGGACGAAAGAUGCGCGGGUUAAUACCCCGCGCAAGUGACGGUACAGCUAAAGGAAGCCCCGGCUCACUCCGUGCCAGCAGCCGCGGUAAUACGGGGGGGGCAAGCGUUGUCCGGAGUUACUGGGCGUAAAGCGCGCGCAGGCGGCCACUUAAGCCCGGCGUGAAAGCCCCCGGCUCAACCGGGGAGGGUCGUCGGGGACUGGGUGGCUUGAGGACGGCAGGGGCUGGUGGAAUCCCCGGUGUAGUGGUGAAAUGCGUAGAGAUCGGGGGGAACACCCGUGGCGAAGGCGGCCAGCUGGGCCGGUCCUGACGCUGAGGCGCGAAGGCGUGGGGAGCGAAC
rnacentral:rRNA from 1 species